UACGUAGGGACCAAGCGUUGUUCGGAAUUACUGGGCGUAAAGGGCUCGUAGGCGGCCAACUAAGUCAGACGUGAAAUCCCCAGGCUCAACCUGGGAACUGCGUCUGGUACUGGAUGGCUUGAAUUCGGGAGAGGGAUGCAGAAUUCCAGGUGUAGCGGUGAAAUGCGUAGAUAUCUGGAGGAAUACCGGUGGCGAAGGCGGCAUCCUGGACCGACAUUGACGCUGAUGAGCGAAAGCUAGGGGAGCAAACGGG
rnacentral:rRNA from 1 species